UUGAACGCUGGCGGCAUGCUUUACCCAUGCAAGUCGAACGGCAGCGCGGGCUUCGGCCUGGCGGCGAGUGGCGAACGGGUGAGUAAUACAUCGGAACGUGCCCAGUAGUGGGGGAUAGCUCGGCGAAAGCCGGAUUAAUACCGCAUACGACCUGAGGGUGAAAGCGGGGGAUCUUCGGACCUCGCGCUAUUGGAGCGGCCGAUGGCAGAUUAGCUAGUUGGUGGGGUAAAGGCCUACCAAGGCGACGAUCUGUAGCUGGUCUGAGAGGACGACCAGCCACACUGGGACUGAGACACGGCCCAGACUCCUACGGGAGGCAGCAGUGGGGAAUUUUGGACAAUGGGCGAAAGCCUGAUCCAGCAAUGCCGCGUGUGUGAUGAAGGCCUUCGGGUUGUAAAGCACUUUUGGCGGGAACGAAAAGGACUGUGCCAAUACCACGGUUCGAUGACGGUACCCGCAGAAUAAGCACCGGCUAACUACGUG
rnacentral:rRNA from 1 species